CGCUAGCUACAGGCUUAACACAUGCAAGUCGAGGGGCAGCAUUUCAGUUUGCUUGCAAACUGGAGAUGGCGACCGGCGCACGGGUGAGUAACACGUAUCCAACCUGCCGAUAACUCGGGGAUAGCCUUUCGAAAGAAAGAUUAAUACCCGAUGGUAUAAUCAGACCGCAUGGUCUUGUUAUUAAAGAAUUUCGGUUAUCGAUGGGGAUGCGUUCCAUUAGGCAGUUGGUGAGGUAACGGCUCACCAAACCUUCGAUGGAUAGGGGUUCUGAGAGGAAGGUCCCCCACAUUGGAACUGAGACACGGUCCAAACUCCUACGGGAGGCAGCAGUGAGGAAUAUUGGUCAAUGGGCGCAGGCCUGAACCAGCCAAGUAGCGUGAAGGAUGACUGCCCUAUGGGUUGUAAACUUCUUUUAUAUGGGAAUAAAGUUUUCCACGUGUGGAAUUUUGUAUGUACCAUAUGAAUAAGGAUCGGCUAACUCCGUGCCAGCAGCCGCGGUAAUACGGAGGAUCCGAGCGUUAUCCGGAUUUAUUGGGUUUAAAGGGAGCGUAGGUGGACAGUUAAGUCAGUUGUGAAAGUUUGCGGCUCAACCGUAAAAUUGCAGUUGAUACUGGCUGUCUUGAGUGCAGUAGAGGUGGGCGGAAUUCGUGGUGUAGCGGUGAAAUGCUUAGAUAUCACGAAGAACUCCGAUUGCGAAGGCAGCUCACUGGACUGCAACUGACACUGAUGCUCGAAAGUGUGGGUAUCAAACAGGAUUAGAUACCCUGGUAGUCCACACAGUAAACGAUGAAUACUCGCUGUUUGCGAUAUACAGUAAGCGGCCAAGCGAAAGCAUUAAGUAUUCCACCUGGGGAGUACGCCGGCAACGGUGAAACUCAAAGGAAUUGACGGGGGCCCGCACAAGCGGAGGAACAUGUGGUUUAAUUCGAUGAUACGCGAGGAACCUUACCCGGGCUUAAAUUGCAUUUGAAUAUAUUGGAAACAGUAUAGCCGUAAGGCAAAUGUGAAGGUGCUGCAUGGUUGUCGUCAGCUCGUGCCGUGAGGUGUCGGCUUAAGUGCCAUAACGAGCGCAACCCUUAUCUUUAGUUACUAACAGGUCAUGCUGAGGACUCUAGAGAGACUGCCGUCGUAAGAUGUGAGGAAGGUGGGGAUGACGUCAAAUCAGCACGGCCCUUACGUCCGGGGCUACACACGUGUUACAAUGGGGGGUACAGAAGGCAGCUACCUGGUGACAGGAUGCUAAUCCCAAAAGCCUCUCUCAGUUCGGAUCGAAGUCUGCAACCCGACUUCGUGAAGCUGGAUUCGCUAGUAAUCGCGCAUCAGCCAUGGCGCGGUGAAUACGUUCCCGGGCCUUGUACACACCGCCCGUCAAGCCAUGAAAGCCGGGGGUACCUGAAGUACGUAACAGCAAGGAGCGUCCUAGGGUAAAACUGGUAAU
rnacentral:rRNA from 1 species